rnacentral:rRNA from 1 species
AUAGAACGCUGGCGGAAUGCUUUACACAUGCAAGUCGAACGGCAGCACGGACUUCGGUCUGGUGGCGAGUGGCGAACGGGUGAGUAAUGUAUCGGAACGUGCCCAGUCGUGGGGGAUAACGUAGUGAAAAUUACGCUAAUACCGCAUACGAUCUAUGGAUGAAAGCGGGGGAUCGCAAGACCUCGCGCGAUUGGAGCGGCCGAUAUCAGAUUAGGUAGUUGGUGGGGGAAAGGCCCACCAAGCCAACGAUCUGUAGCUGGUCUGAGAGGACGACCAGCCACACUGGAACUGAGACACGGUCCAGACUCCUACGGGAGGCAGCAGUGGGGAAUUUUGGACAACGGGCGAAAGCCUGAUCCAGCCAUUCCGCGUGCAGGAUGAAGGCCCUCGGGUUGUAAACCGCUUUUGUACAGAACGAAAAGGUUUCUACUAAUACUAGGAGCUCAUGACGGUACUGUAAGAAUAAGCACCGGCUAACUACGUGCCAGCCGCCGCAGUAA